UGAGGGUAACCAGUUACAGGCAGUAGUGAUGGUGCUGGUGGUGGUGGUGGGAAAGGGGGUUCCUUGCAUUGAUCAUACCCAUAGAAUAGACCAUUAAUUGCACCAAUGCUGGGAACUGUGGGUGCAGCCACACUGGAGGGCAACACCCAAAGACCAAGACUGAGGACAAGACAUCUCAAUGAAGACCAAUGAAAGCCUGAGGGACAGACAAGGACAAGAAGCCUGUGAGAGGUUCAAGGCCCCUCCUGCGAAGGCAUGAUGUCCUGUAACCUAAUUGUGCAGUGUUAUACUAAGGAACUGGAUGUAGUAAAAUUCCAAGGAGUGAGAGCUAGCUACUAAGAAUGUCCUUCUCAAAUAACUUCACUUGCAUCAGGGCAUUAACUUGAGGAAUGGCAAUGAUGGUUUGCUCCAAGAUAGAAGACUCUAAGAUGGUUUGCUCCAAGAUAAAACAGUUUCUAAAAAGGCUCACUGUUCUGCUAUAGCUUAGAAGACAAAAUAAACUGCAAGAAUUAUUCAAUACAACUUCCCAUUCUGAAUUAAGAUUUUCACCACUUGGUUGCUAAAGAGAUAUUAAAUACUGUGAAGAAAAUCAAAAGGAUACUCUGAGAGGAAUCACAAGGAUAAUGGAAGAUAUGACCGAAGAGGCAGAGAUCAAUGGGACAACCUUCUUGAGCAAGAUGAAGAAAAGCCAGAGACCUUGAAAGCAACCUGGUGACAAUGACAGACCCAUAAAAUGGAAGAAUGCUGGAUCCAUGAAUCACUACUUGGAAGAGAGCUGCCUGCUGACUGAAGACACCUGCUUUGGACUAUAUAUGCAAUAAAUAAACUUUUAUUGUAUUAAGACA